CUCCCCUUCCCCCCAGUGAGAUUAAGAGCAGUCCUGCUUGGUUUGAGAGGUUGUCGGGAUUUUUGUUGACAGCUUUUAGGACAGAGCAAGUUUCCUUUGAUCCCUAAUUUUCUGAGAGAUUCUAUAAUGAAUAGAUAUUGGAUCUUAUCAAAUGCUUUUUCAGCAUCGACGGAGGUGUUUACAUGAUUUUUUUUUAACAACCCCCACCCACUGUAUUCUUGUGCUGUUGUAAAUUACGUUGACUGGUUGUUCAAAUGAUGAUACAACUUGCCAUUGUGGUAUAAACAUUUGAUGUGGAAUUAAAAGAAGACGCGCCCUGGUGGCGCCAUGGUGAUGUGUUGGGCUGUGAUCCGCAUGGUGGGCAGUUCAGAACCACCAGGAGCUCCGAGGGAGAGAGACUGGGCCUUCGACUCCCAUCAAGGGUUACAGAAACCCGCAGGGGGUCACCAUGGGGCUGGACUCGAUGGCAGUGAGUUUGGUUUGGGAGUGAGAUUGAAGACGAGCUUAUGACUGAUUGGACUGGACUGCAGCCACCCCCUGGCCACAGAGACUUGUUUCAAAGCUUUCUGCUUGGAACCAACCCGUGCCUGUACGAGCUGGAGCCCCCGGGGCAAUACGUUGAAUAUUGAAAGUUACCAGUUCCCCCCUUUCUUAGGGAUGAUGGAUGUAUAACACCGUGCCCCCUCCCCUGCCUCCAGGGGGACGAAUUACAGAACUAUGGGUGGAAGGAGACAACAGCCAGUGAAAGAAAUGAAAAAAAUAAUAUAUACUUUGUGAAGGGCUCACGAGAGUGUGAGGGAGGAGGAAAAACAUGGGCUGAUCUCAGAGGGCUCAAGUAGAAAGAGAAUGUUUUGAAAAGGAUGAUGGCAACAUCCGUACAAGUUCGCUUGAUAGAAUUGAUGUAGGGAUUGUUAUAAUCUCUGUAAGAGCCCCUUGAUACAAUGACUUUUAUUAAAAAGAGAGGGAGAGAGAAAGCUAGCUCUCACGGAUGGCCCAAAGAACAACGGAUCUUCCUUAGGAGCAAGGGUGGCGAGAACUCAUCUUUGGACAGCUUGUCAGGAGAGACCAGUCCCUGGGGGAGGACGUGGCUCAUGCUUGGUGGAAAUAUUGCCGCAGCGAAGGCGAGGAAGGCCCUGGACAAGGUGGAUGGGCACCGUGGCUGCCACAACGGGCUCGGGCCUAAGAACCCUCCUGAGGAUGGUGCAGGACAGGGCCCUGUUCCGCACUGUCGGAUAGGGCUGCUGUGCGCUAGAGCCAACGGGGUAGCAGGGACAAUGGCACGUGGUCAUCGGCCCACCUUGGUCUUCACAGUGGAUCCCAGUGCCCUCUCAUGAAAUCCGAGCCACACGUGGCUCCCCACGAGACAGCUUCUCUCAGCCACCAGGCUUGUCACACCCAUUAGCCCCUGUUCCUUCUCGUCUCCAAACCAGGAGGGUCCUCAGUGCCUUGCUCCACCCAGAAAACUUCCGGUGUUCUUUACGGUCUAACUUGCCUUUCCUUGUCUAAUCCUCCAGAGUAUCCAGUUUCCAGCGCAUAGCCACCUUGCGGGAGAAGAUGAUGCUACAGCCCUACCUGGAAGGACCGGUCCAAGAGGAGCAGCAGUCCCGCCCCCAAGACCGCUGGACCAUCAGGAGGCCCACCCACCCCUCCUGCCUCUGCUCCUCACUGUGAUAAAGGGCUGUGCGUCA